rnacentral:rRNA from 1 species
AAUCUCUUAAAGCUUCUCUCAGUUCGGAUUGCAGGCUGCAACUCGCCUGCAUGAAGCCGGAAUCGCUAGUAAUCGCGGAUCAGCACGCCGCGGUGAAUACGUUCCCGGGCCUUGUACACACCGCCCGUCACACCACGAGAGUUUGUAACACCCGAAGUCGGUGAGGUAACCUUUUUGGAGCCAGCCGCCUAAGGUGGGAUAGAUGAUUGGGGUGAAGUCGUAACAAGGUAGCCGUAUCGGAAGGUGCGGCUGGAUCACCUCCUUU